rnacentral:misc_RNA from 1 species
AAGUCGUAACAAGGUUUCCGUAGGUGAACCUGCGGAAGGAUCAUUAACACGUAUCCACGUAUCAACCCCUAGUGUCACGAGUGCGCGUUUGCGCGUGCUCAGUUUUUCCACAAUGAAUUUUAACCACUUGAACCCAUCAGACUAAAACUAUUUCGUGCUUUUUUUGCGCAAGCGAAGAAGAACCGAAACAAUAAAAUAACAAGAAACAACUCUUAGCGACGGAUUUCUUGGCUCCC